rnacentral:lncRNA from 1 species
UCUUGAUCUGGGAAUCCUUCUCUGCCUGCUGCUGCCUUAGCCUCUUCUCACUCUGCUCCAGUCGGGCCUGAUACUGCAUCAGGAUUUUGCUGGUUUGUUCUUCCUGGGACAGCAGCCUCCGCUCAUACUCUUCCAGCUUCCGGUUGGACAUGUGCAGCCGCUCUUUCGAUGGACGGAAGGCUUCUCAAGAGGUGAUCAGGUCUUUGCCUUUUCUUACC